rnacentral:rRNA from 1 species
CAGGCUUAACACAUGCAAGUCGAGGGGCAGCAUGGUCUUAGCUUGCUAAGGCCGAUGGCGACCGGCGCACGGGUGAGUAACACGUAUCCAACCUGCCGUCUACUCUUGGACAGCCUUCUGAAAGGAAGAUUAAUACAAGAUGGCAUCAUGAGUCCACAUGUUCACAUGAUUAAAGGUAUUCCGGUAGACGAUGGGGAUGCGUUCCAUUAGAUAGUAGGCGGGGUAACGGCCCACCUAGUCUUCGAUGGAUAGGGGUUCUGAGAGGAAGGUCCCCCACAUUGGAACUGAGACACGGUCCAAACUCCUACGGGAGGCAGCAGUGAGGAAUAUUGGUCAAUGGGCGAGAGCCUGAACCAGCCAAGUAGCGUGAAGGAUGACUGCCCUAUGGGUUGUAAACUUCUUUUAUAAAGGAAUAAAGUCGGGUAUGCAUACCCGUUUGCAUGUACUUUAUGAAUAAGGAUCGGCUAACUCCGUGCCAGCAGCCGCGGUAAUACGGAGGAUCCGAGCGUUAUCCGGAUUUAUUGGGUUUAAAGGGAGCGUAGAUGGAUGUUUAAGUCAGUUGUGAAAGUUUGCGGCUCAACCGUAAAAUUGCAGUUGAUACUGGAUAUCUUGAGUGCAGUUGAGGCAGGCGGAAUUCGUGGUGUAGCGGUGAAAUGCUUAGAUAUCACGAAGAACUCCGAUUGCGAAGGCAGCCUGCUAAGCUGCAACUGACAUUGAGGCUCGAAAGUGUGGGUAUCAAACAGGAUUAGAUACCCUGGUAGUCCACACGGUAAACGAUGAAUACUCGCUGUUUGCGAUAUACGGCAAGCGGCCAAGCGAAAGCGUUAAGUAUUCCACCUGGGGAGUACGCCGGCAACGGUGAAACUCAAAGGAAUUGACGGGGGCCCGCACAAGCGGAGGAACAUGUGGUUUAAUUCGAUGAUACGCGAGGAACCUUACCCGGGCUUAAAUUGCAGAUGAAUUACGGUGAAAGCCGUAAGCCGCAAGGCAUCUGUGAAGGUGCUGCAUGGUUGUCGUCAGCUCGUGCCGUGAGGUGUCGGCUUAAGUGCCAUAACGAGCGCAACCCUUGUUGUCAGUUACUAACAGGUUCCGCUGAGGACUCUGACAAGACUGCCAUCGUAAGAUGUGAGAAAGGUGGGGAUGACGUCAAAUCAGCACGGCCCUUACGUCCGGGGCUACACACGUGUUACAAUGGGGGGUACAGAGGGCCGCUACCACGCGAGUGGAUGCCAAUCCCCAAAACCUCUCUCAGUUCGGACUGGAGUCUGCAACCCGACUCCACGAAGCUGGAUUCGCUAGUAAUCGCGCAUCAGCCACGGCGCGGUGAAUACGUUCCCGGGCCUUGUACACACCGCCCGUCAAGCCAUGGGAGCCGGGGGUACCUGAAGUGCGUAACCGCGAGGAGCGCCCUAGGGUAAAACUGGUGACUGGGGCUAAGUCGU